GUCUUCAUGUCUGGAAUAAUACGCCAAAGGGGUACGUAAUACCGGAUAUUCUUGCUUUUCAUAAGUUAUGCAAGCAAAGGUGGCCUCUGCAUAUGCUACUGCAUGAAGAGGGGUCUGCGUACCAGUUAGCUAGUAGGUGGGGUAAUGGCCUACCUAGGCGACGAUGGUUAGCGGGUCUGAGAGGAUGAUCCGCCACACUGGCACUGGAACACGGGCCAGACUCCUACGGGAGGCAGCAGUGAGGAAUAUUGCGCAAUGGGGGAAACCCUGACGCAGCGACGCCGCGUGAGUGAAGGAAGGCCUUCGGGUCGUAAAGCUCUGUCAAGAGGAAAGAAGUGUACAAUGGCUAAUACCUGUUGUAUUUGACGGUACCUCUAAAGGAAGCACCGGCUAACUCCGUGCCAGCAGCCGC
rnacentral:rRNA from 1 species